rnacentral:rRNA from 1 species
GAUGAACGCUGGCGGCGUGCCUAAUACAUGCAAGUCGAGCGAACAGACGAGGAGCUUGCUCCUCUGACGUUAGCGGCGGACGGGUGAGUAACACGUGUAUAACCUACCUAUAAGACUGGGAUAACUUCGGGAAACCGGAGCUAAUACCGGAUAAUAUAUUGAACCGCAUGGUUCAAUAGUGAAAGACGGUUUUGCUGUCACUUAUAGAUGGAUCCGCGCCGCAUUAGCUAGUUGGUAAGGUAACGGCUUACCAAGGCAACGAUGCGUAGCCGACCUGAGAGGGUGAUCGGCCACACUGGAACUGAGACACGGACCAGACUCCUACGGGAGGCAGCAGUAGGGAAUCUGCCGCAGUGGGCGAAAGCCUGACGGAGCAGCGGCGCGUGAGUGAUGAAGGUCUUCGGAUCGUAAAACUCUGUUAUUAGGGAAGAACAAAUGUGUAAGUAACUAUGCACGUCUUGACGGUAACUAAUAAGAAAGCAACGGCUAACUACGUG